rnacentral:rRNA from 1 species
UACGGAGGGUGCAAGCGUUAUCCGGAUUCACUGGGUUUAAAGGGUGCGUAGGUGGGCUGGUAAGUCAGUGGUGAAAUCUCCAGGCUUAACUUGGAAACUGCCAUUGAUACUAUCAGUCUUGAAUACCGUGGAGGUCAGCGGAAUAUGUCAUGUAGCGGUGAAAUGCUUAGAUAUGACAUAGAACACCAAUUGCGAAGGCAGCUGGCUACACGAAUACUGACACUGAUGCACGAAAGCGUGGGGAUCAAACAGG